CCUACGGGAGGCAGCAGUGAGGAAUAUUGGUCAAUGGGCGGAAGCCUGAACCAGCCAAGUCGCGUGAGGGAUUAAGGCCCUGCGGGUCGUAAACCUCUUUUGCCGGGGAGCAGUGGUCCGGACGAGUCCGGGCCGGGAGAGUACCCGGAGAAAAAGCAUCGGCUAACUCCGUGCCAGCAGCCGCGGUAAUACGGAGGAUGCGAGCGUUAUCCGGAUUUAUUGGGUUUAAAGGGUGCGUAGGCGGGCAUUUAAGCCGGCGGUCAAAUGUCGGGGCUCAACCCCGGCCUGCCGUCGGAACUGGGUGCCUUGAGUGGGCGAGAAGUAUGCGGAAUGCGUGGUGUAGCGGUGAAAUGCAUAGAUAUCACGCAGAACCACGAUUGCGAAGGCAGCAUACCGGCGCCCGACUGACGCUGAGGCACGAAAGUGCGGGUAUCGAACAGGAUUAGAUACCCGAGUAGUC
rnacentral:rRNA from 1 species